GAUGAAGAACGCAGCGAAAUGCGAUAAGUAAUGUGAAUUGCAGAAUUCAGUGAAUCAUCGAAUCUUUGAACGCACAUUGCGCCCCCUGGUAUUCCGGGGGGCAUGCCUGUUCGAGCGUCAUUUCACCACUCAAGCCUCUCUUGGUAUUGGGCAACGCGGUCCGCCGCGUGCCUCAAAUCGACCGGCUGGGUCUUCUGUCCCCUAAGCGUUGUGGAAACUAUUCGCUAAAGGGUGUUCGGGAGGCUACGCCGUAAAACAACCCCAUUUCUAAGGUUGACCUCGGAUCAGGUAGGGAUACCCGCUGAACUUAAGCAUAUCAAUAAGCGGAGGA
rnacentral:misc_RNA from 1 species